GCCUACAGCCAUACCACCCUGAAUAUGCACAGUCUCAUCUGAUGUCAGAAGCUAAGCAGGGUCAGGCCUGGUUAGAACUUGGAUGGGAGACAGAUCUUCAGAAGAGACU
rnacentral:rRNA from 1 species